rnacentral:rRNA from 1 species
GCACGGGUGCGUAACGCGUAUACAAUCUGCCUUGUACAGGGGAAUAACCUUUAGAAAUGAAGAAUAAUACCCCAUAGUAUGGUGACUCGGCAUCGAGCUAUCAUUAAAGUUUCGGCGGUACAAGAUGAGUAUGCGUCCUAUUAGCUAGUAGGUAUGGUAACGGCAUACCUAGGCAACGAUAGGUAGGGGCCCUGAGAGGGGGAUCCCCCACACUGGUACUGAGACACGGACCAGACUCCUACGGGAGGCAGCAGUGAGGAAUAUUGGACAAUGGGCGCAAGCCUGAUCCAGCCAUGCCGCGUGCAGGAAGACUGCCCUAUGGGUUGUAAACUGCUUUUGUACGAGAAGAAACCUUCCUACGUGUAGGAAGCUGACGGUAUCGUAAGAAUAAGGAUCGGCUAACUCCGUGCCAGCAGCCGCGGUAAUACGGAGGAUCCAAGCGUUAUCCGGAAUCAUUGGGUUUAAAGGGUCCGUAGGUGGAUUAAUAAGUCA